rnacentral:rRNA from 1 species
CCGCUGGGUUAGCAGCGGAGCCCAAUGCCAAGCAGUGCUUGAGUGUCAUUAAAUUAUCAACCUUGCUCGCUUUUACCGGCUUGAGUUAGGCUUGGAUGUGAGGGUUUUUGCUGGCUUCCUUCAGUGGAUGGUCUGCUCCAUUUAAAUGCAUUAGUGGGAUCUCUUGUGGACCGUCACUUGGUGUGAUAAUUAUCUAUGCCAUCUUGACUUUGAAGCAAACUAAUGGGAACCUGCUUAUAACCGUCCCUUACAAGGACAACAUUUGACAUUUUGACCUCAAAUCAGGUAGGACUACCCGCUGAACUUAA